GGGCUGUAGGGAGCCGUAGCAAGGGUAGGAGGUUAGUAGAAGAGGAGAUGGUUAGGAAUUGUUGGAGUUGGUACUGGUUGCCCCAAAGGCCCGUGAACAGGAUUCUGGAAGCUGUAAGAAUUGAUGGAGAACACUUGAGGGACACCUGCUAUGUUCUUCUGCUGAUUGUAUUCCAGCAUUAAGAAAGCCUGGGAGCAAGCUAAAGUUGUAGAACUAUCAGAAUAAAGUAAGAGAUGGAAGAGACCAGAAUGUCAGAUGGACAAGUAGUUUUGCACACCAGUUUGUGAACUGGGGUUCAUCUAUGGUGAAGUUGCUACAGAUCAGCAGAGAAAUAAGAAAAAAAAUAUAGUGAGUUUUUCAUUUAGUUAAACUUACUCUUAAGGAUUGUGCAUUAUAUUGAAAUUGUUCAUUCUAUUUCUUUUAUCCAAUGACAGUUAUAGAGUAGUUAUUUUCUAAAUAAUUUUCUUUGAAGAAAUAUUUGUUGCUAACUUUAUUUGCUCCCAUUUGGUUUAUUUUAUUUCUGAAAUUUUUCUUGGUCCACGAGAUCCUAAAGUCUAGCAAUUACUGAGAUAGAGAAUGGCCACCAAUUUCAGCAAUCAUAAUGCUGGUGUGAUUCUAGUCUACUUACUUUAUCUGCUAUAUGUAUUCUCUGUAUUCUUUCUGGAUAUGACUUAGUCUAAGCCUGAGGGUGGAUCUGAGCUUGAUGGUGUUUGGAAGGUAAGAAGUGGUUGUAACUGGCAGAUGGUACUAGGCCCCAAAGUAAGACAUUAUUAAUUCUUGAUGCAGUUUAUAUAGAUGAAAUGGAGUUUCUGUUUGUUACCGUAUUACAUGAAAAUAGGUAGAUGGAAUUUUGCCAUCCAUGGAGAAUAUGUUUGUGUUAGUCUGACUUAAAAUAAUAAGUUAAUAAAAUUCACUUUGAUGGAACGUGGGAGGUGGGCACUGCUGUCAACCUUUUGGUAUGUGUCUUCACAUCUCCCUAUGCAAAUAUGCCCUUGGUGGUUUUAAAAUAUGGCUAUGACUUCUUUGAUGUCCUUCCCAUGAAAAGAUAUACUUUGUGUCUUCUCCUUUUAAAUCUGGAUGGGCUUAUGAUUGAUUUAUACAAGAGAAUAUAGAGAAAGUGAUCAUAGUCACCAUAUGUGACUUCAGAGGCUAGGUCAUAAAAGGCCAUGCAGUCUGUUGAAACCCUUGCUUUUGCAGCUCUCAGCCAUCAUGUAAGAAGUCUGACUACCUGAGUCCCAUGUGCUGUGAAAAGCCCAGGGCAAUAGGGAGACCCCUUGAAUGUACUCUGAUUGACAGUCGCAGCUGAGCCCAGCCCUCCAGUUAGCCUAGGUGCCAGAUAUGAGAAUGGAGAAGCAGAUUCCAGCUCUUAGCCAUUUAGUUACCCUUCAGCCUUUCCAGCCUUCCCAGCUGAGGACCUAGACUUGUGGACCAAAGUGAGCCUUUCCUGCUCUGUCUUGUCCUAAUUCCUGACCUGAAGAAUCCACGAUUUUAAGAGAAUGGAAAACAAGACACAGACUGGGAGAAAUAUUUGCAAAAAAAAAAAAAAAAAAAAAAAAAAAAUACAUCUGAUAAAGGACUGUUAUCCAAAAAUGUUUAAAGAAGGGGCGGCUGGGUGGCGCAGUCGGUUAAGCGUCCGACUUCAGCCAGGUCACGAUCUCGCGGUCCGAGAGUUCGAGCCCCGCGUCGGGCUCUGGGCUGAUGGCUCAGAGCCUGGAGCCUGUUUCCGAUUCUGUGUCUCCCUCUCUCUCUGCCCCUCCCCCGUUCAUGCUCUGUCUCUCUCUGUCCCCCCCCCCCCAAAAAAAUAAAUAAACGUUGAAAAAAAAACAAAAAUGUUUAAAGAACUGUUAAAACUCAACAAUAAGAAAACAAAAGCUCGUUUAAAAAAUGAGCCAAUACCUUUACAGACCUCACUAAAGAAGAUAUACAGAUGUAAAAUAAGUAUAUGCCAAGAUGCACCACAUCAUAUGCCAUCAGGGAAAUGCAAAGUGAAAAAAAAAAUGACUUACCACUACACAUCUCUUAGAAUGGCCUAAAUCUAGAAAU